GAUGCUAUUCUAGAGAUAGAAGUUACUUCGGUACAUCGGUGACAGGUGGUGCAUGGUUGUCGUCAGCUCGUGUCGUGAGAUGUUGGGUUAAGUCCCGCAACGAGCGCAACCCCUAUUGUUAGUUGCCAUCAUUCAGUUGGGCACUCUAGCGAGACUGCCGGUAAUAAACCGGAGGAAGUGGGGAUGACGUCAAAUCAUCAUGCCCCUUAUGACCUGGGCUACACACGUGCUACAAUGGUUGGUACAACGAGUUGCGAGUCGGUGACGGCGAGCUAAUCUCUUAAAGCCAAUCUCAGUUCGGAUUGUAGGCUGCAACUCGCCUACAUGAAGUCGGAAUCGCUAGUAAUCGCGGAUCAGCACGCCGCGGUGAAUACGUUCCCGGGCCUU
rnacentral:rRNA from 1 species